GAAUCAUUAUACAUGAUCAUCAUCACAUGUAUAUACUAUUUUACUGUUAGUUUUGCAUCGUUGGAUUUGAGAUCGAUGAAUUUAUCAUAUAUGAGACACUGUUAUUUAUUUAUGUGAUUGCGAGUAUGAAUAUGUUUUAUCAAUACAUAUGAUGGCAUGAUUAUAUAGAUAUGACAUGUUUGUUUUUAAUUACACUGCAAAAUUUGAAUUGAUUAAUGAAGUCAAAUAUUAUACGUCCAUGAAAAAUAAAAAGAAAGGAAAAUAUGAUUUGGACUGA
rnacentral:lncRNA from 1 species